AAUGUUAUAGCAAUAUAGUUGUGCUAUGGAAGAUUCAGAGACAAACCUGUAAUACAUGAUUGGAAUGCAGAGAUAAAGUGGAAGGUAGCCAUACUUCCUAUUCUUUGCCCCAAGGCUAAAAGAGUGGCAGCAGCGGCAGAGGCAUUGCAAGGGAACACAGUAACUCACAAUUCCAGGAAGUAAGGUACUAAGGAUACGCCAGUGUGCAGAACCAGAACACUCCAAGAUGACAGAAAUGCUCUAUGCCUUUCCAGAGCAGUCAUCACUAGCCACCGGUGGGUCCAGCUACAGAUGUGGCGAUGCUUGACAGCCCAGGCGCUAUCAUUGAACAACUCAGUGGCUGAAUUGAAGAGAGGUUAGUCAUUGAAGUGACAUGAACUGGUGACUAGAAAACACAUGGAAAAAACUCACACUGCACAGAGCAAGCA